CUACGGGGAUGAUUUCAAGCACUGAACUCUCUCUUUCUGAUGGCUUAGUGGAGAAAACGUAAAAACUCUGAGUAGC
rnacentral:snoRNA from 9 species